ACACGUUCACGUGGAACAGCAUUUCGUCAUAACCUCAUUUUUAGAAGAACUUCCAUCAGAUGUUCAUUAGAUGUCUAAUGGACGAUCAUGUCUGUGCGGGAGUAAAGGACUGAAUGAAACGACGACGACGACGACGAUAAUUCCACAGUAGUACUUUAGACGGUCCUUUGUCGGUCGAUCGCGUCACCGAUUUGUUUAUUGGCGGCGUGAGAUCAGAGAGUGCGGUAAGCGGAAUCAUUUCAGAAAAGAAGGGGAAAACUGGGCGGUAACAACUGAUCGCGCGCGUGCGUUCUACUUGUGCCCGAACUGAUCAUCAGUACUUCCAUAAAAUCACGUGACAUACGGUUGCUGAAAGCGUAGGAAGUUCAUUUCUCACGCAGGUUAAAUUCCCCGAUAAAAUAAAAAAUAUUUGAAUAUGCCCAAGAACGUAAAAGAGUAUGUUAAAAAAACUAACGAGGAUGGUAUAGUGUUAUACUAUUGUACAAAAUGUCAUAUGAAAUCUGACAGACGAUAUAAUGCUACCAGGCAUUACGAGCGAUUUCACGAAGCACUAAAGAUACCAAAACAAUGCGGUAGUUGUUCAAAGCAAUUCGUUACCAAAGGAGAUCUUUAUGAACACAGGGAAAAAGUCCAUGAUGAUAAAAAAAGAUAUUGUAGACAACAAAAAAAUGUUACAAAACAAACAAAUAUUUUGGCAUGUGCAGAAAAGGAUUCUGAACAGAUAAACAAAGAAAAGUCUUGUAUGAAUUUGAAUUUUACAUCCAAUAAUCAGACAGAAAACUACCUAUCACCAAAGAAAAGAUUGCUUUGCAAAUGGCAAAAAACAUCAGAAAACAGUCAUUAUCCAUUUCGCUCUAUUGAAAACUUUGAGAAUUCUAUUUUAACAACCACUACUGAUAGUCUAAAUAAUACUAGUCCCAACCUUGUUAUUUUAAAUAUAAAUAAAUCAACACAGUAUACAUAUGAUGUUAGGUCAGUAACAGCAUUAACAAACAUAUUACAAGAGUUUAUUGGUUUUUAAUUGUCGCACUGUCUAUUAUAUACUUUUUAAAUCACUACAAGUGUUCAUUAUAUAUUUUUAUACUUGUGGGGACUUUAAAACAGUUGUUUUACAUUAAUCAUUUGUUAAUC